rnacentral:tRNA from 1 species
GGCUCCGUAGCAUAACUGGAUAGUGCACCUGACUACGGAUCAGGAGGUUAGGAGUUCGAAUCUCUUCGGAGUCA